CGGGAAGCAAUCAAAGAGGGAGGAAAGAGGUAGCACGGAAGAGGAAUGAGGAUCCACUGCAUGAUUCCAUCAGUCUACAAUUCUAUGAUUCAACAUUUUUCUUUGCUUUGGUUGCUUUUCUUCCCCAUUUAUGCAUAUGGAACAACUUUCCCUGUUGGUCAGCUGCUGUGGCUGCAGAUAGGAGCAAGAAGGGAGCUGGAGCAGAGCAAGGGCAGGGAAAAUUGGUCCAAUUCAGUGACAGUUCCAGCCUCAAACACGGGUAGCUCUGUGUGUCUCCUGCUAUCAGUCUGUGCUACUCCUGCAGCAAGCUGGAU
ensembl:lncRNA